AGUGAACGCUGGCGGUAGGCCUAACACAUGCAAGUCGAACGGCAGCACAGUAAGAGCUUGCUCUUACGGGUGGCGAGUGGCGGACGGGUGAGGAAUACAUCGGACUCUACUUUUUCGUGGGGGAUAACGUAGGGAAACUUACGCUAAUACCGCAUACGACCUACGGGUGAAAGCAGGGGAUCUUCGGACCUUGCGCGAUUGAAUGAGCCGAUGUCGGAUUAGCUAGUUGGCGGGGUAAAGGCCCACCAAGGCGACGAUCCGUAGCUGGUGUGAGAGGAUGAUCAGCCACACUGGAACUGAGACACGGUCCAGACUACUACGGGAGGCAGCAGUGGGGAAUAUUGGACAAUGGGCGCAAGCCUGAUCCAGCCAUACCGCGUGGGUGAAGAAGGCCUUCGGGUUGUAAAGCCCUUUUGUUGGGAAAGAAAAGCAGCAGGUUAAUACCACGCUGUUCUGACGGUACCCAAAGAAUAAGCACCGGCUAACUUCGUG
rnacentral:rRNA from 1 species